rnacentral:rRNA from 1 species
GACGAACGCUGGCGGCGUGCUUAACACAUGCAAGUCGAACGGAAAGGCCCUGCUUUUGUGGGGUGCUCGAGUGGCGAACGGGUGAGUAACACGUGAGUAACCUGCCCUUGACUUUGGGAUAACUUCAGGAAACUGGGGCUAAUACCGGAUAGGAGCUCCUGCUGCAUGGUGGGGGUUGGAAAGUUUCGGCGGUUGGGGACGGACUCGCGGCUUAUCAGCUUGUUGGUGGGGUAGUGGCUUGCCAAGGCUUUGACGGGUAGCCGGCCUGAGAGGGUGACCGGCCACAUUGGGACUGAGAUACGGCCCAGACUCCUACGGGAGGCAGCAGUGGGGAAUAUUGCACAAUGGGCGGAAGCCUGAUGCAGCAACGCCGCGUGCGGGAUGACGGCCUUCGGGUUGUAAACCGCUUUCGCCUGUGACGAAGCGUGAGUGACGGUAAUGGGUAAAGAAGCACCGGCUAACUACGUG